UAACCUGCCCAAGAGAUCGGGAUAACACCUGGAAACAGAUGCUAAUACCGUAUAACAACAGAUGAUGCCUAUCAACUGUUUAAAAGAUGGUUCUGCUAUCACUCUUGGAUGGACCUGCGGUGCAUUAGCUAGUUGGUAGGGUAACGGCCUACCAAGGCGAUGAUGCAUAGCCGAGUUGAGAGACUGAUCGGCCACAUUGGGACUGAGACACGGCCCAAACUCCUACGGGAGGCAGCAGCC
rnacentral:rRNA from 1 species